GAUGAACGCUGGCGGCGUGCCUAAUACAUGCAAGUCGAGCGAACGGACGAGAAGCUUGCUUCUCUGAUGUUAGCGGCGGACGGGUGAGUAACACGUGGAUAACCUACCUAUAAGACUGAGAUAACUUCGGGAAACCGGAGCUAAUACCGGAUAAUAUUUUGAACCGCAGGGUUCAAAAGUGAAAGACGGUCUUGCUGUCACUUAUAGAUGGAUCCGCGCUGCAUUAGCUAGUUGGUAAGGUAACGGCUUACCAAGGCAACGAUGCAUAGCCGACCUGAGAGAGGGAUCGCCCGCACUAGAACUUGGACGCGGUCCUGACUCCUAAGGGAGGCAGCAGUAGGGAAUCUUCCGCAAUAGGCGAAAGCCUGACGGAGCAACGCCGCGUGAGUGAUGAAGGUCUUCGGAUCGUAAUACUCUGUUAUUAGGUAAGAACAUAUGUGUAAGUAACUGUGCACAUCUUGACGGUACCUAAUCAGAAAGCCACGGCUAACUACGUG
rnacentral:rRNA from 1 species